GCCCGUUUAGCUCAGUGGUAGAGCGCGCCACUCGUACAAAUGUUUGAUAUGGUGAGGUCGGUUGUUCAAUCCAGCCAAUGGGCA